ensembl:lncRNA
GGCUCGCAAAGAGGUGGACAUGACUGAAGGGACUGAGCGCACACACGUUGUGAUUUAUUGGCCUCUUGUGCAGUGAGCAGAGCAAUCAGUCUUGGAUUUGGUAACAAACUGACCUCACCAGAAUGGCCUGGAGGAAAACACCCCUCACCCCCAACCAAGGGCAGCAUGCAACCAACUUGAUAAGGAAAUACGAAAGUCCUCCUCCUUUGUCUCAAGCCUCCCAGAAACUCAGAUGAAGACUGUAUGUGAAAAUGUUUAUCAGUCCCAGAGAAAAUGAAAAUGCUACUUCUAUUUCUGAGAGUCAUGUGCUGAGUGCUGGCAUCCAAGUUGUAAAACUGUUCAAGAUUUUUGGACCCAAGAACUCCCACGUGUGAGAGAUCAGACCAUCUUGUGUCAUGCUUUAGAAUUUAGUGUCUCAUUUUCUUUAGUCUUUUCUAGCCCUAAUUCAUCUGUAUUUCAGUAAUCACAGCGACUAGCUUUUAUAGAUAUAUUUUCAUUAUACCUGAUUUGUCACAACUUUGAUUUUAUUUUAGUAAAUUAAGUAUCUUUACAGGGUGCAUAGUUUUGCAGAGUAGAACAGUUAGGAUUCUGAAUAUGGCAUUAGAAUGUAACCUUCUAAAGAACAGGAGUUUGUUUUAUUGUGCUAAAUAGUUUGUUACCUUUUG